AUAAACGUUUGCGGCGUGCCUGAUGCAUGCAAGUCGAACGCCCCGAUUUUUCGCAAGAUUGAUCGGGGAGUGGCGAACGGCUGAGUAACGCGUAAGUAACCUACCCUUAAGUGGGGGAUAACUUGCCGAAAGGCAGGCUAAUACCGCAUGUUCUGGUAAGCGUUAGCUUAUCAGCAAAGCUUUUGCGCUUGAGGAGGGGCUUGCGUCUGAUUAGAUAGUUGGCAGGGUAAUGGCCUACCAAGUCGAUGAUCAGUAGCUGGUCUGAGAGGACAACCAGCCAGACGGGGACUGAGAUACGGCCCUGACUCCUACGGGAGGCAGCAGCAAGGAAUUUUGCGUAAUGGGCGAAAGCCUGACGCAGCAACGCCGCGUGAGGGAUGAAGGCCUUCGGGUCGUAAACCUCUUUUGUCAGGGACGAAUAAUGACGGUACCUGGCGAAUAAGCUUCGGCUAACUACGU
rnacentral:rRNA from 1 species